ACGAGCCCACGGUUCUGGCUGAGAGGGGAGAUGGGUCUCAAAUUUGGGGCUGGAAAUCCUCCUCGGAAAAGAUCUGGGAACAGAAAGUACUGAGCCUUUUCAAGCUUUCCAAACUCAAUGCAUGGAUCCAAAGUUAGUGGCAGCUUCUCUGGCCUUGCCCUCACCCCAAAAUAGAAAACCACUUCCCUUCCCCAUGAGGGGACGCGAAUGAACUCGCUCCCGCGCCGCUGGGGCUGCGGUCCCUCCCACUCCCCCCCAACGCCCAAAGCCCAAGGGCUUCCUCGGGCCCUGCCUGUUGGCCCGCCCCAUCUGCGGCCAGGGGACGGGCGCGGGGUCAGCCGGCCGGCACCCAGCCUCCCCACGCCGUGUCCUUCCAGCCUGGGCCCCGACAUUACUGGCGCUGCGGCAACCUCGGCUAAGACUGCGGGCGCUGGUCAGCGGCCGGAGCGCCGGGAGCUACACGUCCCCCCCGCGGGGUGGGAUCGAGGGACGAACCUGGCCUGGAGGGCCCUGCGGCCUCCGUUCUCGGUCUUGCCUGGCGCGCGCCGUUAAACACAGAGCGGAGCAAAGACGGAAGGAAAUGGUAGCUGAGCACUGGGCGAGGGCAGAGGAUUGCUUGGGCUGCUAUUCUGGAAUGAGACAGAAGAGGAUCAAGGCCCAAUGCAGGAAGACCCUCUAGGAGGCUACUCUGUGAUCCAGGGCACCUAGAACAAAACUGAACUUUUCUGACGUUAGGCUGUCUCCUCACAACUUGAUGGUGCCCUCAGGCUCUAGUGAGGAAUAUCUGCACACUUGGUUUGUUCUGAUACAGACGUAUCCAACCUCUUCAUUCCAAACUACUGUCUCAAAAAGAGAAUGUGGCAAGUGUGUGUAACUGAGUAGCACAUAGAAGGAAGAAGAAGGCAACCAUGGCUGAAAGUGACCCCACUCAAUCUCAUUCAUGCUACUGAAAUUCCCAAAAGAAUCACCACUGUGAUGGAGCCUAUUAUCCGGAUGUCAUUGGUUGGAUCCACCAUCAUCGAAUCACUCUCCUGGAACAAAAAAAAAAAUCACUAAAAUGGGAUCCUGUAGUGAGCGUCGCCUCUACAUCACUGUGCAGUUUCAAGACUGUGUGCCAGUAAAGAUUUGAUAUACGUUGCCUGAGAAUUGUUGGAUGUCCAAUAGUAUUGUACGGAAGGUAAGAAGCCUCCAUACUGACGACUAGAAAGGAAGUGAGCAGACUGGGAGUAUGAUCAAUGAUGUAUUGGAAAUAUUUCUACUUAAUGGGAAAACUCUUUCAAGCAGAAAUCAAACUAUGGAAACUAUUCAAGUGACUUCCAGUUGCCCGAGCAGCAGAGUUGUGGUGUAACACAGAGAUGAGGAACAAGUCUCUGGGGUCGGCAUGCUUGAUUCACAUCCUGGCCCUGCCACUUCCUAUCUGUGUGAACACUGGUAGUCAUAAAUGCUACAAAAGAAAGCAAGCAAGUUAAGAGGAAAGAGAAUGAUAAUGAAUAAAGGGCACUUCUUUAAUUGAAGAAAUCAGCAAAGGCUUUCCUAGGGAGAUGACAUUUGACCUGAAGUCUGAAUGAUGUCAAGAAGGGAGCUGUGAAAAUAUCUGGAGGAAGAGCAUUGAAGUUUGAGGAAACAGUCAUUGCAAAGGCUUUGAGAAGCACUGGAAACCUGGUCUGAAAAUUCUCAAAAUGUCUCACUAGAGAAACCUGGACUGUCAUUAUCAUUCUGCCUUGUUUGUCUCCAGUUCUCUUUGGACAUAUUAAACUUAAGAAGCAUAGAAAUCACCUACCAAACAUUAUGGAAGAAACAUCAGCAAGCACCCAACAAAUCCACUUUUUUUUUUUCCUUUUGUCAGCAGCAUCAGCAGAAACAUUAGAGCUCUUUCUUCUUUAGAAUUUGAACUCAGCAGACCUACAGACUCCUUCCCCUCUCCUCCCUCCCCACCUCCUUUCCUGCUCCCUAGCUUCAGAAAUACCAGAAAAGGAGACAUGCUUUUCAUCUGGACCUGCAUUAGAAUCCUGUCAGUUAAUGCGAAGGGUAGGGGGAGAAAGUUACUCCGCAGGGAGAGACGUCUCACCUUCCAUGCUUGUUGCCAUGGAGAUGAAAUCCAGCCAGUAGAUUUAAGUGUUGGCAGGUUUGUCUGUGUUCGCUGAUCGGUUCGGUAGCAAUGUAAAAGACGUGUCCUGGGAACCUGCGUGGAGUCCCAGUACCGCGGUUAUCGCUUUACUGGCCUACGUGUGUAAAUGUCUGUAUCUGUCGGUGAGGGGCAGAAGACGUGUGCGCGCGUGAGCAUAUUUGCAGGAAAAUGUGCACGAAUUUCUUCCAUGUGGCAGUGUGUAAAUAUUUGCGCGCGCGUGUGCGUAUGUGAGGGCGUCUGCCCGUGUGUGUCUGUGAGAGAAAAGCGGUGGACAGUGAGAGGGGGUAGGGAAUCGGCCACGGCAGCAACAGGCUUCAUAUAGUCCUCAGCUCUGCAAAAAAAAAUAAGAAGGCUUAUUUUCACUCAUAUCACACUUGGAGGUUAGCAAUCGGAGUUCAUCACCAAUUUGUCUUUCUAAGGCAGUGGAGGUGUUAAUUAAUGUAUUGUUAAAAUACUUGUUUUCCUCUUCUGUCUGCGUCAGUAGCUGUGCCGCGGGCAUUUUGUUGUGCUCGGUGACUGCAGUCUCAGUCGAGGAGUAGGCAAUCAAUUCCUAUGUCUUCUCAUCCUAUAAAGGAAAGACGUGGAUGACGGGUGUAUUGGUUUAACUGGGGACCGCAUGCGUCAUUUGGAGUUAUUUUUCCCUGCCCUUCGCCUUGCCUAUGCAAACCCAACAGGAUCCCCUCCUCUUCUUAGGAGUAGGUGCCUAGGCGCUGUCCGUAGUGCUGAAAUGUUGCGUAGUAUGACCUACCUCCCACAGACGAGCUAUAAGACAGCAAGCGAGGAACGCUCCGACAAAGCCUACAGGAAGUUGUGAGACACGUUUUCUGAACGGUGUUGAACAUAUAGAAACCAAACCUAAACCGCAUUGAAAGCAAAACAAAACAAAACAAAGACAGGCAAACAAACUCAGUUGUAAGGUUCCAGUUCUGUUCAUCUUUGGAUACUAUAUCCAGAACCUACGAGUUGCAAACACUUGUAGAUUCCUUUAAAACUUAAUUAUUGACUUUAUGAAUUAUUAACUAUUCAGAGAUUGGGAAAAGUGUAGAUGUGGAAUUAGGUCAUUAUUCAUGUGAAAAAAUGCUGAAAACAAGUAAAAGUGUGUUAUAGUUCAAUAAUAAAGUGAAGACAAACUUUAUGUUCAUUUAGAGCAUUUACUAAAUUAGGAAAUUUCAUGGUCUUACAAAAAAUGCGCAAUGUAUGACUGUGAGUUCAUACAAGACUAUACUCAAAAAAAGUUAUUCUUUUUCAUUUAAAACUAUUAAACACCCUAUAAUAUAGGCCCACCAAGGAAGAGAGUGGAAGAAGUGUCUUCUUCUGGGAACAUGUUCAUUGCCAUGGUUUUAUUGACUCUUUUUUAAGCUUGCUAAGGGCCACAUCCAUUUUUGGUACUAUAUACUAGAGCAGUGCUUCUUGAAAUUGAAUGUGAAUCCCCUGGGGAUCUUGUUAACAUGCAGGUUCUCAUUCAGUAAGUGUGCGAUUGGGUCUCAGAUUCUGAAUUUCUAACAACAUCCCAGGUGAUUCCAGAGGUUGCUAGUCUCAGGACUAAACUUAAAAUAACAAGGUUCUAGAGAUACUGUGUUCUGGCCAUGCAGUCACCCACGGAGUAUGCAAAAGGCAGUCAUUAUCUUUCAUCUAUUCUCUGUAUGUUUCUAGACUGUUGCAAAAAUAUUCUAUUCAAAUAAGUUCAGAGAUUAAGCAUUUUAUUUGCACAAUAUUAACAAACUGUUUAUGAAUUUAUCAUUUGAUUGAUUUUGACAUUGUCUAGACACAUGCUACAGUCUGCUCCACUCUAUAUUUCCAUACUAUGAUCUGCAAUCACCCAUUCUCUUUGCAAGCCAAGCUUAAGGAAGCAGAACCAAGUUACAUGAUUCUACUACUGGUAUAUGGGCCCCACUCCAAGAAUUUGUUAUCAUGAUUGAAGACUUAAACUUGUCAUUUUAUGACUUUAAAUAUGGUUCUGUAGUAAAUGCUCAUGAUACUGAUUUUUAAAAUUUAGACAUUAUAGAUCUAAUUCUCACCCAGUUUAGAAAGUGGAAGAGGACCAUUGUUUCACAGACCUUUUGAAUGAAAUCUGAUCUGUCAUAUCAUUGGCAUAAUACAUUUAUACUUAGAUUUUGAAGAAAUCGUCCUCUGGAUGAUUUUCUGAUUUUUAAAAAAAUCCAUACCUACAUCAGUUGUACAGUGCUUUCAGUUAAUGCUUUUGAGUUGAUGCCAAAGGAAAGUUUUGACUAUAAAUUAGGUUCCUUCCUUGGUGUUAGUUGGUGCAUGACCUUGACCUUUUUCAAGCUAUAUGAACAGUGGUGAUGUUCUGAAAAGUCUGCAAAGUGGUUCAUUCAGGAAAGUGUAAUGGAUUAAACAUCAAUUAUGUUCCACUUCCUUUGUUAUAUGGUGGGAUACAAAGAUGAAUGAGGUUUGGUCUCUGCCCUUGACGAGGUAUUUUGCAAAACAACAUGGCAGAUUCUACAAAGUUCUAUAGAAGCACAGAGAUUAAUAAUGUAUGUUUUAUUCUCCAUUACCAAAGAAGUGAUGAAGAAUAGCAAAGUAGAAAAACCCAGGUGUAUUUAAAAUACAGAUGUAUUUCAGGUCAUUGCCAAUGUCUGCUGCCCAACUUUUAAUUUCAAAUUGUUGAAAGAUAUGAUAUAUAUGAACGCUUUUCUAAAGCACACAUGGUUAACCUGUACUUCUGGAUUGUCUAUGAUUUAUUUUCAGAGGAAUCCAAAUUAUUAGAAAGGUAAAUAUAUGGGUGGCAUUGUUCAGACCUCCUCCAAAUUAAUUGCCUUUACUAUGCAUUGACUUUACACUUUCAGCUUAUAUGCAAGUAUUUUAUAUAAAGCAAUCCUUAGCUUACACAGCCUGCUCUAUGUCUGCUAUGGGAUUGUUACUAAAGACUUGCCCAACACAUCCUUUACUAUUCCUAAUAUGACAUCCCUCAAAAAACAUUUUUUUCCAUACCAAUUUCAUGAAUUGAACUUUCAUACCCCUCCUCUUCACUUAAAUCAUCCCAAGGUAAGUGUUGUGUUCUCUUCUUAUAUACAAUAUAUAUCCUGUAGCUGAUCACAUGUGCCUUUUCUUUUAGUUACCAGGGAUGUCAGGGUCAAAUUAACAGCUAAAAAUUAGUAACUAUAUAAGCUCUUCAGGCCUCUAUAUGUGUGUCCUUUCUUUAUUGCCUUGAAUACUGAAAUUUUUUUUUGCUCAGGUAUUGGUAUAUUAUUUUCUUUUAAUUAUCUGUUUUA